CAUUAAGAAGCUAUGAAUCAGCAUUAGCCUUUUAAGCUAAAGAAAGAGGAAUUGCUCCCUCCUUAAUG
rnacentral:tRNA from 1 species